rnacentral:tRNA from 1 species
GCGAGGGUGUCCGAGAGGCCAAAGGAGACAGGCUUAGGACCUGUUGAUGCAGAUCUACCAGGGUUCGAAUCCCUGCUCUCGCA